UCGAAAUCAUUGCAAUCUGAUCAAAAAUUUAAUAUAUAAAAUACAAUUGAUAUCAAUAUUCUACAAGAGUAUUUUCUGGAAAUCUAGUUACAUAUUCGCCAAACCAAGAGUUAUAAUCGGUGAAGGAAACGUAAUUAUGAAUUGCUGUGUCAUCAAUGCACGUUGUUUAGUUGGUCGUGCUAAUUCCUCGAUGCGAAGAGAUGCAGAUUUUAUAGAGACUUGUGGUAUAUCAUGCUGAACAUUCAUAUAUAUAUAUA